CGCAUUUAUGGAGCUGAGUCACGGACGUCUGGUGUCGGAGUAUUGUCGCUUUCACUAAUGCCUGUCCCGCCUGCCUGCUCGCCUGCCUAGUUUUCUUUGUGAUUGGCUUCCUUGGAUCCGUGACGGGGAGUUACUUUGCACCUGUUUGUGACCACUGCUACAGCUGUAGUUCUGUGUUUCAAGUAGCUCCGGUGCGUCAUCUGUCCACCCGCAUACCUCGGCUCCGUUUCAUCUCUUCAGCUCUGCUCAUUUUGCACAUUUUACUUGUUAUUGUAUAUAGUCCUUUCCCUUGUAAAUAUUCUCCCACCGUCGUAUAUAAAUCUGCAUCACUACUAUCCUGUGCCCGUGUGUUUCUGCCACUAAAUCCAUCCGUGUCAACUCACCUAACG